CUGUAGUACCAUCAUGAUUGUUCUAUUUGUCUAAUUUGUUAGAAAUGCAUCUACCUUUUGAUUGUCAGUUGCUGGUCAACCUGUCACUGCUCAUCACAGAAACGAGGUCUGCAUUUCAAAAAGAAACAGCCCUCUUUGCCACAUAUCCAAUCAGAUCUCAGACGCUACCUACUGCAGCACAUUCCAGUCCACAUGCAGAGUCUUCAGACGCUGGCAGCUGGCCUCAACCAAGCAGCUCUAUCCCAAAAGCCACAAACUCCUCAAUGUCACCUACACCACUUCCUAGAGAAAUAGUGCGUGUUUAGGGUAUCAGCCAGGCCUGGCACCUUUGCAUCCGAGCCAGACCGAAGCCCCUGCGGUGGACGAGUGGUUUCAGCACAAGGAACAGGCCGACCGCCACCACAGUGAGGCACCUGUCUUCUCUCCAGGCGACCGGGUCUGGCUCUCCACCCUCCGCCUGCCCCUCGGCCUGCACUGCCGGAAGCUGAGCCUGCGGCCAGUGGUGCCUGGUCCCCUCGCUGAGGCUGAACCCAGGUCCGGCGUACUCAGUCCGUGAAGUCCUGGAAUCGAGGCAUUUGGCGGGGCGUCUCCAGUACCUCAUCGACCUGGAGGGGUAUGGCCCAGAGGAGCGGUGCUGGGUUCCUGCGGUGGACCCGCACCGCGUCCCUGUGGUUGUCCCUGAGGCCGGUGUCAUCCCGCAGUUAAUAUGGGCAGUCAGUAGUUAGUCAACUUACAGUAAAUGGAAAAUAUGAACAAAUACCAACAUGUUUUUAAUCAAGUUAAAUAUUUCUUUAAUACACAACACAUCCCAAC
ensembl:lncRNA